rnacentral:lncRNA from 1 species
AUUCCAGGGAACCCGCCCCGGCGGGGCAGAGGCGCGGGGAGGAGGUGCCCCGCAGGGCCGGCGGCGCCCCCCGGAGCCCGCGGAAACACACGCUUGCAGCGAAAGGCUCGUACACACCAGCCGGGUUUAUUCGUUCCCUACCCGGGUGCGCUCGGGGCGCGCGGGAAACAAGGAAACGCACGUACCUGGCGGCGCUCCGAGGGGCCCCCGAAGCCACUCCCCGCCCGGCCGGUCGCCCCGCGGCCCGUCCCUCCCUCCCCGGACGCGCGCGGAGCCCGCCGCCGGGGCCGCGUCCUGCUGCCGGCGCCAGGGCCCGCGCCUCCUCCCGGGGGAUCCCCGCGGGCCGGGGCCGGGGCCGGGGCCGGGGCGCCCAGGCCGGGGAGCGGCGCGUCCUCCCCGGCCGGGGCCCCGCGUGCGCACGUCCCCCGCCGAGCUGCGGAGCCGGCCGCGGAGCCCUCGGGGAAGACGAGGAGGCGGCGGCGGCCGCGGUCCGGGCAGGAGCCCCGGGGCGGGAGGGGUGCUGGGCGGAGGGGCGGGCUCCCCGCGCCCCGCGGCCGCCGCCCUCCCGGGCGCCCCGCCCCGCCCCCGCCCCCGCCCCGUCCCCGCGCCGAGCCCUCCCGGCGCCCCGCCCCCGCCCGCCGCCGCCGCCCAAUCACCGCCCGCCGCCGCCGCUCCCUUUGUCUGGGCCGCGGGCUCGGGCCAAUGGCAGCGCGCGGACACGCGGGCGGCGCGCGCCUGGGCCAAUGGGCUGUCAGGACGGGCCGCGGGGGGCGGAGCCUGGGCCCCGGUCGGUGCGCUGCCGGGCGGAGGCAGGCAGCCCGCCGCGGGGCCGGAGGCUCUCGGAGCUGCCGGUGCCGUGACCGUGCGCGGCGGGACCCGCGUGUCCCCGGGGGGAGCGAGGGGACCCUGAGCGCCGCAGCCUCCAGGGACGUGCGGCUCAGAGGCGUCUCCGCCCCAGACCGGGUCCCCCAGGGUGGGAGUGGCCGCGCUCACCGGGGUCACCCCGAGCAGGGGGCGGCUCUGCCGUCGCCCCUGAGCAAGGUCCGGAGCCUCCCAGAUGCCCAGGGCUGGUGA